AUAUUAGCGACAAAUGUAGAUUAGCCACGAGACACUACAUCUUUACCGGCAAUUAAUAAGAAACAGCCAAUAAAGAUGAUACAACUUACGAGAAAGCAAAAUUUUGUUAUUUCACUUUCCCUCUAUUAUCGUUUUCCGUAAAAAAAAAGUGUUGCUUACCCAUUCACCAAAACGAAUGCAAACACCCAAAUCAAAGGAAGAACCCUAAUCAUCGGCAACGCCCAACUCGUUUCUCUCUCUAAUCUCGAUGUUUUCUCUUGCUGGACCUUUUUAUGAAACGAUCGGUCUCUACUAUCAUAGUUCCGUCGGCCCUCCCCUUCCCGCUCUCACAAUGGUCUCGCAACUCUCAAGUUAGCAGUACAAAAUUCUGAUUUCUUCUAAUCGACAACAAUUGUUGCAACUGAGAUGGCUCUUGGCAAAGAUGGUACUGACGCUUUAGUCAGAGUUUGCGUUGUCAACCCUAAUUUAGAGAUCUGGAGAUCCAUGAAGAAGCUUUGAUCACAUAGAACCAUAUUGCUUUGCCACAGUUAUGUAAUGACCUCCAAGUUAAGUUGCAACUCCCUUUGACUAAAAUUCAAUUUCAUGAUCAAUCUCAAACUGUCGCUGAAUGCCCUCAUUCUUUAUUUUAGGUGCAAGAGCCAGAGAUGGUAAAGCUGCUUGUUCAGGAUACGACUAGGUGUUCAUAGUCAAGUUAUAAUAACAUAAAUCCUAGAGACUUCACUGUGCAAGUUAAGGUUAGGAGUGUCUUGACCUACUCUUUCUAUCAAGUCG